UGCCAGCCGCCGCGGUAACACGGGGGGCGCAAGCGUUAUUCGGAAUUAUUGGGCGUAAAGGGGCGCAGGCGGUUCGAUUAGUCUGGAGUGAAAGCCCGGGGCUCAACCCCGGAAGGCCUUUGGAUACUGUCGAACUAGAGUACGGGAGAGGAGAGCGGAAUUCCUGGUGUAGCGGUGAAAUGCGUAGAUAUCAGGAGGAACACCUAUGGCGAAAGCAGCUCUCUGGCCCGAUACUGACGCUGAGGCCCGCAAGCGUGGGGAGCGAACAGGAUUAGAUA
rnacentral:rRNA from 1 species